rnacentral:lncRNA from 1 species
UGCUUUAUACAUGUUACUGAUCUACAUAGGCCAUUUGGGGAAGCAAAUCAACAUUUGGUUUAUAUCUAUAUACUAUAUAUAAGAAGCCAAGAGUAAAUUAAGAUCAAUUAUAAAAGCUUGGAAUUAGCAGCACCUGCCGAUCACAAAGAUUAUUAUGUAACGAUGCAGAAAGCAGUACUGCUGUCAUUUCUUCUUUUUUUUUUUUUUCUGGGCAUAUAUAGGCAGGGAUAGAUGAAAAGAGGAAAUAUUGUAAGUGUAGUUUCAUUUUUUUGUAAUCUCUUUUGAUCUUAUUUAUGUUGGUAAUUCUUUAACUUCCAUACCAAAAAAAUCUUUCAAUUGAUUCUUUCAUAUUGUAUCUCCUACAUAAUUUGUUGCGAGACAAGAAUAACAACAAAGUAUAAUUUUAUUUUAUUUUA